rnacentral:rRNA from 1 species
CAUGUAGGCGGUUAGGUAAGUCUGAUGUGAAAUCCCGGGGCUCAACCCCGGACGUGCAUUGGAUACUGCUAGACUAGAGUACAGGAGGGGUGAGCGGAAUUCCAGGUGUAGAGGUGAAAUUCGUAGAUAUCUGGAGGAACAACGGAGGCGAAGGCGGCUCACUGGACUGUAACUGACGCUGAGAUGCGAAAGUGUGGGGAGCGAACG